rnacentral:lncRNA from 1 species
UUGGGAGCAGCAAAACGCGUGAACAGUAUACCUAUAUUGAGCAGGUCGAGUUUUUUUCCAAUUUUUGAACGGGAAGAAGCUUCCGAGGUGAUUGUUAAGAGAGAAAAUCAGUGGGUAUCGCAGAAGUAAGUUCUUUUAUUAUUAAAACUCGUUUAUAGGUGAUUAUAAACCAUAAUCCCAGCCUUUUAUUCAUGAAAAUCAGUAGAAAAAUAGGAUUUUGGGGCCUGAGAUUAUGAGACCUUUAGGAGUCGAUUUGAGGGGUCGAACGAAGUAUGAUUUUGGUGUUGUUUAUAUGUACGGAAUCGGGAGAAGAUGAAGAACACUUUUCUGUAAAAAUUUCUAAACGGACUCCGAUUUUGGUGUUCUUUAUAUGUACAGAUUCGUGUCGAGACGAGGAAUCCAAAUAUGUAAUUUUCAGAAUUUUUUAAAAAGUGAGCCCGGGGCUCGGGUUUGCCAACUUCGUGAGUUUUAGUGUUUUUCGAAUAAUUUUAGUUGGGUUAUGUUUAUUUAGCCCAUAUUUAUGUAUUCCUUGUGAUUUUGACUUGAUUCGACGCACGAAGAGGUCGAUACAAGAGGAAAGGGCAUCACGGGCUAGUCUACGGGCGGUUAGAGGUGAGUAGUUUGUAUAGAUGAUGGCCUAAGGGUUUGAAACCCUGGUUUAUCACAUCGUGACGCUAUGUUAGGGCGUGACUCGUACCCCGUGGCAGGUGCGAGGUCUUAAAUGAUUGGGGAUUGUGACUUUGUCCAUCCCAAGAGCUGAAUAUAAAUUAUUGGCGUCUGAUACGCGCACCCCAUGGCAGGUGCGGGGUUGUAAAUGAUUGGGGAUUGUAACUUUGUCUAUUCCGAAAGCUGAAUAUAAAUUAUUGGCGUCUGAUACGCACAUUGUGUUAUUGAUAAUUGGGUGAAAUGCUAUGUUUGGGGCCGUGGGCCGAUCUGUAGUACCCGUCUAGGGUGAAUAUCUGUGUGAUAACAUAAUUUACAUAAUCAUUUAUCUCAGUCCUGUGUUUAAUCAUCGUAAUCAAAUGCUAAGUCAUUUUUCCUAAAAUUAAAUAAUUAAAUUAUAUUCUUCCUACGAAUUGGAAACUGAAAAAUAAGUUGAAUCUGUUAUGUGACUCCUAUGCAUACUGUGGACUGAACAUGGAUCGGGCUACACGCUAUAGCGAUUAUACACAUUGGAUCGGGCUGCACGCCGCAGCGGUUAUAUAUUGAUAUUGUGCUUGGGCUGAAGGAGCCCCUUCGGAGUCUGUAGACACCCCCAGUGAGCGCCAUCGAUGUUAUAUAAACAUGGUUGGCUCGGGCUGCACGCCACAGCGUAUUCAUGUGCAUUGCACUGCAUCUUUAUCUGAUAUUUAGUUGCUGUUGUGAUACUGUUUUGUUGUUAGUUCGUAGCUAAGUCAUAGGAUUGUUAAUUAUAGCCUUGCUUUGUGGUAUUUUGUGGAUUUCUUACUUUAAGACAUUUUCUAUGCUUAUUAUUCACUAAGUUGGUAGUACUCACCCCUACUCCAUGCACCUUGUGUGCAGAUUCAGGUACACCGGAGGCUUAGCUGACACUCAUAGUCUCCAGAUAUUUCCAGAGUCGUUGAGACCUGUCUACUCUUCAUUUUCC